UGGCGGACAAAGCUAGUAGAAGUCUGAUAAUAUAUGGUGAUGGACUAGUUAAACAAAUCUCAUCAUCACACAUUCAUCUCCAUGAUCUAGUUUCUCGAGGUUGCUGUGGAUUCUUAUCUCUCACCCAAUCCCCUAAUGCAGGAGCUUCAACUGGCACUUCUCCAGGCACCUCAUAGAGAAUCUUUUUCUUGAUAGGGUUUUUGAUCCUUUUGAUUGAGGAAUUUGUUCAUUCGCUUAGUGUUUUCCAUCCUUAUGCCCCAGUGGAGGAAAAAAUUGACUGUGUGGGUUAAAAUUUAAAAAUAAGUAUGUUUUCUGUUUUGCUUAUUGAUUCUCAUCUUGAUUCUUAAUGCCUCUCUCUCUCUCUCUUUCUUUUUCCUCUUGGGAUUUUCUGCAAUCCUUUAGGCUGUAUGAUUUAAGACAAACUGGCUACAUCGAGCGAGAAAAAGUAAGUGCAUUUAUGUGUAUGUAAUUUGAUUUUGCUGUAACACCAUCUUGUACCUAUAAUAUUGUCUGUUUUUGUUUAGCGAACUUUUAAGAUGUAUCCAACUGUCCAUCUGUUCCUGAAUUUUAUUCAGUUAUACUUGCUUACGCUGGGACACCGCAUUUGCUGCUUCUAGGUUCAGCAAAUGGUUAUUGCAAUAUUAAACGAGUCAGACUUGAGGUUAUCCGAAGACCUUCUGGAGUCUAUUAUUGAUCAGGCAAGACAUGGUUAAAACUUAGAAAUCUUCUCCAUUUAAUUUAUUGUUUCAGUAGCAUCAUUUUGAUGCCGAAGCUGAUGCCGACAAGGAUGGUAAUCAACAAAGAAGAAUGGAAAUCUUUUGCACUUCUGAGGAACAUGACUCUUCCUUACCUGAAGGAUAUCACUACUGUUUUCCCAAGCUUUAUAUUCAACACGACGGUUGCAGACUGAAAUUUGAACGCUUCAUAUCAUUCAUUCCUCUACGAGGUUCCUGAGAAUCGGAUAUAUUCAGCUGCAGAAUUUGAAUUCAACAGAUGAUACUACAUUACCCUCCAAGCAUAGAAGCAACCAUGUAAGCCACGGCAUUGUAUUCUUUGCACUGUAAAAUGGACAUCAGUACCACCAAAUGAGGUCAAAACAAGAACAAUAAUGUCGUAUCUCCCAACUAAAAGUUGUUCAGAGUCCCUCAGCUGAAAAUUAUUUUGUUUUCGUCCGAUGGAGGCGAUUCUUCUUGUAUAUCAAUUCA